UAUUUUCCGUGUCCCCGCCUGCAGAGUCAGUGUGCGGUUUGGGAGAAAAUGUGUCGGAUAUUUUGGGGCGGUCACGUGGGCGGGCGGGCUCCGAGAGGCCCCGGGACAGUCCCAGCCUAGAGCCGUGCCCCCCCAGGAGCCCCCCAGUACGGCGAGCCCCGGACAUUGCGACGCUCCAUCCAAGAGACUGCCCGACGCCGGGACCUCGGGGCUCCGCCGCCUCCCUUCCCCCUCCCACUCCAGCAGCUACGGCCCAGUUCCCUCAACCUGACCCAGUAUGUAGAAGCCAGUCUCUGCAGGCGGCCAGCGGCCACGACAGAACCAAGGCUCAGAAAUGGGAGGAAUCUCUACCCCCUUCCUCUCUUCACUCAACUCCCAAGUCCCUUCUCUGAGGCAAAAUAAGAGGAAGGCCAAGGACAACUCUCAUUGGCUCACAUGCAGCAUCAUUCCUUGGACUUUUGGAGGCCCAGUGGGCAGGCCAGGCAGGGCGGGUACGGAGCCUCCCAGGCUGGGGCAGUGGGCAUGGGCAGGGGCUGUGGCUGAAGACCUCGCCCGCCCACUGCAGACCCCAGGGGACUCUCAC
rnacentral:lncRNA from 10 species